rnacentral:rRNA from 1 species
GACGAACGCUGGCGGUGUGCUUCACACAUGCAAGCGAACGAGGUAGCAAUACCUAGUGGCGGACGGGUGAGUAACGCGUGGGAAUCUGCCCUGGGGUGGGGAUAACUAGCCGAAAGGUUAGCUAAUACCGCAUAUGCCGUGAGGUAAAAGGAGUAAUCCGCCCGAGGAUGAGCCUGCGUCCGAUUAGCUAGUUGGUAGGGUAAAAGCCUACCAAGGCUACGAUCGGUAGCUGGUCUGAGAGGAUGAUCAGCCACAAUGGGACUGAGACACGGCCCAUACUCCUACGGGAGGCAGCAGUGGGGAAUUUUACGCAAUGGGGGAAACCCUGACGUAGCGACACCGCGUGAGCGAAGAAGCCCUUUGGGGUGUAAAGCUCUGUCAGCAGGAACGAAAAUAAAUAUGACGGUACCUGCAGAGGAAGCAUCGGCUAAACUACGUGCCAGCAGCCGCGGUAAU